rnacentral:rRNA from 1 species
GCUUGCACCUUUCAAGCGAGUGGCGAACGGGUGAGUAACACGUGGAUAACCUGCCUCAAGGCUGGGGAUAACAUUUGGAAACAGAUGCUAAUACCGAAUAAAACUUAGUAUCGCAUGAUACAAAGUUGAAAGGCGCUACGGCGUCACCUAGAGAUGGGUCCGCGGUGCAUUAGUUAGUUGGUGGGGUAAAGGCCUACCAAGACAAUGAUGCAUAGCCGAGUUGAGAGACUGAUCGGCCACAUUGGGACUGAGACACGGCCCAAACUCCUACGGGAGGCUGCAGUAGGGAAUCUUCCACAAUGGGCGAAAGCCUGAUGGAGCAACGCCGCGUGUGUGAUGAAGGCUUUAGGGUCGUAAAGCACUGUUGUAUGGGAAGAAAUGCUAGAAUAGGGAAUGAUUCUAGUUCGACGGUACCAUACCAGAAAGGGACGGCUAAAUACGUGCCAGCAGCCGCGGUAAUACGUAUGUCCCGAGCGUUAUCCGGAUUUAUUGGGCGUAAAGCGAGCGCAGACGGUUGAUUAAGUCUGAUGUGAAAGCCCGGAGCUCAACUCCGGAAUGGCAUUGGAAACUGGUUAACUUGAGUGUUGUAGAGGUAAGUGGAACUCCAUGUGUUAGCG